UCUGUCUGAACUAAGAGAUGUAGCCAGAAAGAUGAGGUUAUCUUGGUUCAGAGCCUGGAGAAAGAGGACCUCUCCAUCUAGAUGGGCUGUUAGAUGAGGAGAGAGAUGCCACAGCUGUCUUGGAAGAAAAGACUGUGUGGAGCAUCACAAGGGAAGCCUCAAAAAAACAGAACUGCAUCCAGACUCUCCUUUUGGAUUCACAAUCCUGGUAAUUGUUUUCAGGCAGGACUCUGGGAGGGUAAUUCAGAGAGCUCCUAAAGAUUAGACACUGGAUGGAUGACAGAGGCCUUAGCUUGAAAGAACCUGGUGGAACACUGUCUCAAGGUAUGAUAGUUACAGGUCAGAGAGGUGUUGAUCUGCUUUCAAGGUGGAUUUUUAGAAAUUUCUUGCAAUAGUAGUAUACACUCACCCAUCCUUGUGUUGUCUCUUUCCUCAGGUCCUGCAAAUAUGGUCCCCAAAACUUCUCCAUUGUAAGAGUGCUAAACUGAAGUGUCUGAAGAGAAGCCUGAUUGUAAGAGCAGUUUUUUAAUUUC
rnacentral:lncRNA from 12 species